UGUUAAGCUACAGGACUGUUUCGCUAGCACAGGCUGGAAUAUGUUCUGGGAUUCAUCCGAUGGCAUUAAGGAAAUUAUCACAUCAGUCACCGGCUUCAUUAAUAAAUUAAUCGAUGAUGCCGUCCCCACAGUGAACCUACAUCCCUACCAGAUGCUAUGGAUUACAGGCAACAUCCACACUGAGCUAAAGGCUAGAGCUGCCACUUUCAGGGAGCGGGACACUAAUACAGACGCUUAUAAGAAAUCCCACUACGACCUCCGACGAGCCUUCAAACAGGCUUGAAUCCUAAUAUGCCGGCUCUGAGUUCGUCAGAUGUGGAAGAGUAUUUCAAACUAUCACAGAUUACAAAGGGAAACACAACCGCAAGCUGCCCAGUGACGCGAGCCUACCAGAUGAGCUAAUUGCCUUCUAUGCUCGCUUCAAGGCAAGCAACACUGAACAAUGCAUGAGAGCACCAGCUGUUCCGGAUGCUCUCCGUAACCGAUUAAGAUGCCGGAGACUUGCAAGCUGCUAUCCAAACUGCACUCAGAAGCAUGCACAAGGACUUCUCAGAGAGACUCUAAUCUAGCAUGAGAGGUGCAACUGUUUCCCGCCAGUCUGACUGCCAAACCAGCGCCUGUCCCAACUCCCUUCUGCCCAGCUGCCCUUAUCUUUGCAAUUAGAGGCUCCUGGGCCUCCAGUACAGCAAAGGAUGUGCCAGAUCAACGGUAUGCAGACCAGGCCUAACCUCAUGGGCACAGAUAACUCAGAGAUUGUUGCUUUCAAAUAGCACUGCAUCAUGUGUGUGUGUGUCUUGUGUGAGGGGAGAAGGGAUGACAAUAGCAAUUUCAUUAAGCUCCUCAUGAAAUUGAAAGUGGCACUAAUUAAGAUCCUAGGGAUUCUAUUCAGUACAGGCAGAGUGGUGUAGGCCUAAUUGGACUUGAGCGGUUAAUUGUGGAUAAAUGGAAAUCAGUUGAAACAAGAGCCAAAACAAACAAAACAGAAUCUGCCAAUGCAAACAAAACUGCCACAUCAUUUAGUUAUUAUAACAGACUACAUAAAGUCAAGUAAAUUACAUUUGUGUUGCUGUGUAAGUCUCUAAGCAUCCUGGUCUGUUAAAGAGCCUGGGCGGCUGAUAUUUAGUCCCAGUCCUGAAAUUUCACUUCCUUAUUUUAUAAAAUACAUUUUACCAAGACAAA